rnacentral:rRNA from 1 species
AGGGCACCACCAGGAGUGGAGCCUGCGGCUUAAUUUGACUCAACACGGGAAACCUCACCCGGCCCGGACACGGACAGGAUUGACAGAUCGAUAGCUCUUUCUCGAUUCCGUGGGUGGUGGUGCAUGGCCGUUCUUAGUUGGUGGAGCGAUUUGUCUGGUUAAUUCCGAUAACGAACGAGACUCUGGCAUGCUAACUAGUUACGCGACCCCCCGAGCGGUCGGCGUCCCCCAACUUCUUAGAGGGACAAGUGGCGUUCAGCCACCCGAGAUUGAGCAAUAACAGGUCUGUGAUGCCCUUAGAUGUCCGGGGCUGCACGCGCGCUACACUGACUGGCUCAGCGUGUGCCUACCCUACGCCGGCAGGCGCGGGUAACCCGUUGAACCCCAUUCGUGAUGGGGAUCGGGGAUUGCAAUUAGUCCCCAUGAACGAGGAAUUCCCAGUAAGUGCGGGUCAUAAGCUUGCGUUGAUUAAGUCCCUGCCCUUUGUACACACCGCCCGUCGUUACUACCGAUUGGAUG